rnacentral:rRNA from 1 species
GAGAAUGUUAUCACGGGAGACACACGGCGGGUGCUAACGUCCGUCGUGAAGAGGGAAACAACCCAGACCGCCAGCUAAGGUCCCAAAGUCAUGGUUAAGUGGGAAACGAUGUGGGAAGGCCCAGACAGCCAGGAUGUUGGCUUAGAAGCAGCCAUCAUUUAAAGAAAGCGUAAUAGCUCACUGGUCGAGUCGGCCUGCGCGGAAGAUGUAACGGGGCUAAACCAUGCACCGAAGCUGCGGCAGCGAUGCUUAUGCGUUGUUGGGUAGGGGAGCGUUCUGUAAGCCUGCGAAGGUGUGCUGUGAGGCAUGCUGGAGGUAUCAGAAGUGCGAAUGCUGACAUAAGUAACGAUAAAGCGGGUGAAAAGCCCGCUCGCCGGAAGACCAAGGGUUCCUGUCCAACGUUAAUCGGGGCAGGGUGAGUCGACCCCUAAGGCGAGGCCGAAAGGCGUAGUCGAUGGGAAACAGGUUAAUAUUCCUGUACUUGGUGUUACUGCGAAGGGGGGACGGAGAAGGCUAUGUUGGCCGGGCGACGGUUGUCCCGGUUUAAGCGUGUAGGCUGGUUUUCCAGGCAAAUCCGGAAAAUCAAGGCUGAGGCGUGAUGACGAGGCACUACGGUGCUGAAGCAACAAAUGCCCUGCUUCCAGGAAAAGCCUCUAAGCAUCAGGUAACAUCAAAUCGUACCCCAAACCGACACAGGUGGUCAGGUAGAGAAUACCAAGGCGCUUGAGAGAACUCGGGUGAAGGAACUAGGCAAAAUGGUGCCGUAACUUCGGGAGAAGGCACGCUGAUAUGUAGGUGAAGUCCCUUGCGGAUGGAGCUGAAAUCAGUCGAAGAUACCAGCUGGCUGCAACUGUUUAUUAAAAACACAGCACUGUGCAAACACGAAAGUGGACGUAUACGGUGUGACGCCUGCCCGGUGCCGGAAGGUUAAUUGAUGGGGUCAGCGCAAGCGAAGCUCUUGAUCGAAGCCCCGGUAAACGGCGGCCGUAACUAUAACGGUCCUAAGGUAGCGAAAUUCCUUGUCGGGUAAGUUCCGACCUGCACGAAUGGCGUAAUGAUGGCCAGGCUGUCUCCACCCGAGACUCAGUGAAAUUGAACUCGCUGUGAAGAUGCAGUGUACCCGCGGCAAGACGGAAAGACCCCGUGAACCUUUACUAUAGCUUGACACUGAACAUUGAGCCUUGAUGUGUAGGAUAGGUGGGAGGCUUUGAAGUGUGGACGCCAGUCUGCAUGGAGCCGGCCUUGAAAUACCACCCUUUAAUGUUUGAUGUUCUAACGUGGACCCGUGAUCCGGGUUGCGGACAGUGUCUGGUGGGUAGUUUGACUGGGGCGGUCUCCUCCUAAAGAGUAACGGAGGAGCACGAAGGUUGGCUAAUCCUGGUCGGACAUCAGGAGGUUAGUGCAAUGGCAUAAGCCAGCUUGACUGCGAGCGUGACGGCGCGAGCAGGUGCGAAAGCAGGUCAUAGUGAUCCGGUGGUUCUGAAUGGAAGGGCCAUCGCUCAACGGAUAAAAGGUACUCCGGGGAUAACAGGCUGAUACCGCCCAAGAGUUCAUAUCGACGGCGGUGUUUGGCACCUCGAUGUCGGCUCAUCACAUCCUGGGGCUGAAGUAGGUCCCAAGGGUAUGGCUGUUCGCCAUUUAAAGUGGUACGCGAGCUGGGUUUAGAACGUCGUGAGACAGUUCGGUCCCUAUCUGCCGUGGGCGCUGGAGAACUGAGGGGGGCUGCUCCUAGUACGAGAGGACCGGAGUGGACGCAUCACUGGUGUUCGGGUUGUCAUGCCAAUGGCACUGCCCGGUAGCUAAAUGCGGAAGAGAUAAGUGCUGAAAGCAUCUAAGCACGAAACUUGCCCCGAGAUGAGUUCUCCCUGACCCUUUAAGGGUCCUGAAGGAACGUUGAAGACGACGACGUUGAUAGGCCGGGUGUGUAAGCGCAGCGAUGCGUUGAGCUAACCGGUACUAAUGAACCGUGAGGCUUAACCUUACAACGCCGAAG